rnacentral:rRNA from 2 species
UAGGGAAUCUUCCGCAAUGGGCGAAAGCCUGACGGAGCAACGCCGCGUGAGUGAUGAAGGUCUUCGGAUCGUAAAACUCUGUUAUUAGGGAAGAACAAAUGUGUAAGUAACUAUGCACGUCUUGACGGUACCUAAUCAGAAAGCCACGGCUAACUACGUGCCAGCAGCCGCGGUAAUACGUAGGUGGCAAGCGUUAUCCGGAAUUAUUGGGCGUAAAGCGCGCGUAGGCGGUUUUUUAAGUCUGAUGUGAAAGCCCACGGCUCAACCGUGGAGGGUCAUUGGAAACUGGAAAACUUGAGUGCAGAAGAGGAAAGUGGAAUUCCAUGUGUAGCGGUGUAAUGCGCAGAGAUAUGGAGGAACACCAGUGGCGAAGGCGACUUUCUGGUCUGUAACUGACGCUGAUGUGCGAAAGCGUGGGGAUCAAACAGG